rnacentral:lncRNA from 1 species
UCCACCCUCUUGCGGGCGAGCGCUGGCUACCAUUGGACUGUCCGGCGCGAGGGGAAGGGUGAUCUAUAAAUAGGGAAUGGGUACACGUGACAGUUUGGCAGCUGCUCCUACCCCUCCACCCCGCCCAACCUUCAGCUUCUGAGGCUGCGCAGGGGGAGAAAAGGGUUAGGGGGUCGAGCCCUGACUUCGCCUCCUCUUCCAAGAAGCCUUCCCAGACACUCAGCUGUAAAACCAGACGGACGUCCUCCGAUGAAAUUGUUUCUACUUAGGGCCGGCUUCACCGGCUUGGAAUCCACUUAGAAGGGUCUUCGCGCUUGGUUGAAUGUUCUGCAAUUUCUGUCUUGAAAUUUUUAGUUUUUGAGCAAGGGGCCCCUUAUUUUCACUUUGCACUAGGCCAAAUAUGUAGCCGGUCUUGCUGCUAAGAGUCUAAGAUCGAUUGCAUUCCAAAUUCUGGAAUUAUAAGACCCUGGGUGGAAGAUUCUAUGCUUUGACCAGAAGAGAGUCUAAGCAGCUUUUGUCUCCCAGGUGCUAGGAGGAUGUGUGCUCAUCAUUCUUCCAUUCCAGGGGCCUUUGUUCUACGUUCUAAGGGGCUUUGUUCUCAGCCUUCUAUGAUGCUCUAUUCUCAACGUUCUCUGGUCCUAGGAGUCUGAGCCUGACAUUCGUUUCCAAGGCUUCCUGCUGUCUCUCCAGGCUCCGCAAGCAGGGCUGGGGCACCCUCAGGCGGCCAAUCUGUAUCACUACGCCGAGCCUGCCUCUACCAACUUCCAAGACCUAGCUCUAAUAUUCAUACUCAUCUCUCAGACAGACCUUGGCUCCCUAAAAGCCAAGGCCCAGAAGAUCAUACAAGAAAUUCCCUCUUUUAUGAUUCCCCGUGCACGAAGUGACCUUCUGGUGGUGAGAUGGAGAGAAAUUGAUAGUGGCGAUAGACAGCAAAGUCUCCAGGAGCCAGACUUCCUCGGGAAACUUGGGGCACGUGUGGAGUGUGAGUGAGUGAGCUGCUGGAAUGAACUGACCAGACAGGACAUCAUCUAUGUAUGGGAUUAGAAUGGAAUUACAGGAGAAAACCAAAUCCCUCAAAUUAGCAUUCAGGAUCGGAAAAAAAAUGUCAAGUCCAAUGUCCCUUUUCUUUACAGUAUAUACAAGUGUCUCUAUCAACAUUAGGUUUUGAGGUUGAGUGCAGUGGCCCACACCUGUAAUCCCAGCACUUUUGAGAGGUGGAGGAUCGUUCAACCCCAGGAGUUCAAGACCAGCCUCGGCAACAUAGUGAGACCCCAUCUCUAUAACAAAUAAAAAACAUGCCCGGGAAAAAAAAAAAAAAAA